UCCCCAAUUUUGGAAGUGGGGCAUGGUGAGAGGUGAUUAGAUUACAGGGGCAGAUUUCUCAUGUAUUAUUUAGCACCAUUUCCUCA